ACUAAAAGUGACCAUCAAAUUGACCCAAUACCGAUUCCUACUCAUCUGCAUAUGUAGAGGAGUGAGUCACCAUUAAUUGCAGGACAAGUUAGGAGAUUACUAUAUCAUUAGCUUGAUAUCAGCAAAACAAAGGAAUGCUCCUAAACUCCUCGUAUACCACAUAUUCAGGUUGAAAUCAUGGGUUCCUUCAAGGAUUAGAAGUCGUGGAUC